UACGAAGGGUGCAAACGUUGCUCGGAAUUAUUGGGCGUAAAGCGCACGUAGGCGGCAUUGCAAGUCCCAUGUGAAAGCCCACGGCUUAACCGUGGAAGUGCAUGGGAAACUGCAGUGCUUGAGUACUUAAGAGGAUCGCGGAAUUCCCGGUGUAGUGGUGAAAUGCGUAGAGAUCGGGAAGAACACCAGUGGCGAAGGCGGCCGGCUGGGGGCGCCCUGACGCUGAGGCGCGAGAGCGUGGGGAGCAAACCGG
rnacentral:rRNA from 1 species